GGGUUGUGAGGUUAAGCGACUAAGCGUACACGGUGGAUGCCCUGGCAGUCAGAGGCGAUGAAGGGCGUGCUAAUCUGCGAUAAGCGCCGGUAAGGUGAUAUGAACCGUUAUAACCGGCGAUACCCGAAUGGGGAAACCCAGUGUGAUUCGUCACACUAUCAUUAACUGAAUCCAUAGGUUAAUGAGGCGAACCGGGGGAACUGAAACAUCUAAGUACCCCGAGGAAAAGAAAUCAACCGAGAUUCCCCCAGUAGCGGCGAGCGAACGGGGAGGAGCCCAGAGCCUGAAUCAGCAUGUGUGUUAGUGGAAGCGUCUGGAAAGGCGCGCGAUACAGGGUGACAGCCCCGUACACAAAAGCGCAUGUGCUGUGAGCUCGAUGAGUAGGGCGGGACACGUGGUAUCCUGUCUGAAUAUGGGGGGACCAUCCUCCAAGGCUAAAUACUCCUGACUGACCGAUAGUGAACCAGUACCGUGAGGGAAAGGCGAAAAGAACCCCGGCGAGGGGAGUGAAAAAGAACCUGAAACCGUGUACGUACAAGCAGUGGGAGCCCCACCACUAAGCCAGUGGUGAACUCCACAUCCGCAUCCUUUGCUGAGGAUACGGUUAACGGAGCGAAAGCGACGUUCAACCGCAAAACAAGCAGAGGGGGCUUAGUGGUGGGGUGACUGCGUACCUUUUGUAUAAUGGGUCAGCGACUUAUAUUCUGUAGCAAGGUUAACCGAAUAGGGGAGCCGGAGGGAAACCGAGUCUUAAUUGGGCGUUAAGUUGCAGGGUAUAGACCCGAAACCCGGUGAUCUAGCCAUGGGCAGGUUGAAGGUUGGGUAACACUAACUGGAGGACCGAACCGACUAAUGUUGAAAAAUUAGCGGAUGACCUGUGGCUGGGGGUGAAAGGCCAAUCAAACCGGGAGAUAGCUGGUUCUCCCCGAAAGCUAUUUAGGUAGCGCCUCGUGAAUUCAUCUCCGGGGGUAGAGCACUGUUUCGGCUAGGGGGCCAUCCCGGCUUACCAACCCGAUGCAAACUGCGAAUACCGGAGAAUGUUAUCACGGGAGACACACGGCGGGUGCUAACGUCCGUCGUGAAGAGGGAAACAACCCAGACCGCCAGCUAAGGUCCCAAAGUCAUGGUUAAGUGGGAAACGAUGUGGGAAGGCCCAGACAGCCAGGAUGUUGGCUUAGAAGCAGCCAUCAUUUAAAGAAAGCGUAAUAGCUCACUGGUCGAGUCGGCCUGCGCGGAAGAUGUAACGGGGCUAAACCAUGCACCGAAGCUGCGGCAGCGACGCUGAUGCGUUGUUGGGUAGGGGAGCGUUCUGUAAGCCUGUGAAGGUGUGUCGUGAGGCAUGCUGGAGGUAUCAGAAGUGCGAAUGCUGACAUAAGUAACGAUAAAGCGGGUGAAAAGCCCGCUCGCCGGAAGACCAAGGGUUCCUGUCCAACGUUAAUCGGGGCAGGGUGAGUCGACCCCUAAGGCGAGGCCGAAAGGCGUAGUCGAUGGGAAACGGGUUAAUAUUCCCGUACUUGGUGUUACUGCGAAGGGGGGACGGAGAAGGCUAUGUUGGCCGGGCGACGGUUGUCCCGGUUUAAGCGUGUAGGUGUGUGUUCCAGGUAAAUCCGGUUCACUUUAACACUGAGGCGUGACGACGAGGCACUACGGUGCUGAAGCAACAAAUGCCCUGCUUCCAGGAAAAGCCUCUAAGCAUCAGGUAACACGAAAUCGUACCCCAAACCGACACAGGUGGUCAGGUAGAGAAUACCAAGGCGCUUGAGAGAACUCGGGUGAAGGAACUAGGCAAAAUGGUGCCGUAACUUCGGGAGAAGGCACGCUGACACGUAGGUGAAGUGAUUUACUCAUGGAGCUGAAGUCAGUCGAAGAUACCAGCUGGCUGCAACUGUUUAUUAAAAACACAGCACUGUGCAAACACGAAAGUGGACGUAUACGGUGUGACGCCUGCCCGGUGCCGGAAGGUUAAUUGAUGGGGUCAGCGCAAGCGAAGCUCCUGAUCGAAGCCCCGGUAAACGGCGGCCGUAACUAUAACGGUCCUAAGGUAGCGAAAUUCCUUGUCGGGUAAGUUCCGACCUGCACGAAUGGCGUAAUGAUGGCCAGGCUGUCUCCACCCGAGACUCAGUGAAAUUGAACUCGCUGUGAAGAUGCAGUGUACCCGCGGCAAGACGGAAAGACCCCGUGAACCUUUACUAUAGCUUGACACUGAACAUUGAGCCUUGAUGUGUAGGAUAGGUGGGAGGCUUUGAAGUGUGGACGCCAGUCUGCAUGGAGCCGACCUUGAAAUACCACCCUUUAAUGUUUGAUGUUCUAACGUGGACCCGUAAUCCGGGUUGCGGACAGUGUCUGGUGGGUAGUUUGACUGGGGCGGUCUCCUCCUAAAGAGUAACGGAGGAGCACGAAGGUUGGCUAAUCCUGGUCGGACAUCAGGAGGUUAGUGCAAUGGCAUAAGCCAGCUUGACUGCGAGCGUGACGGCGCGAGCAGGUGCGAAAGCAGGUCAUAGUGAUCCGGUGGUUCUGAAUGGAAGGGCCAUCGCUCAACGGAUAAAAGGUACUCCGGGGAUAACAGGCUGAUACCGCCCAAGAGUUCAUAUCGACGGCGGUGUUUGGCACCUCGAUGUCGGCUCAUCACAUCCUGGGGCUGAAGUAGGUCCCAAGGGUAUGGCUGUUCGCCAUUUAAAGUGGUACGCGAGCUGGGUUUAGAACGUCGUGAGACAGUUCGGUCCCUAUCUGCCGUGGGCGCUGGAGAACUGAGGGGGGCUGCUCCUAGUACGAGAGGACCGGAGUGGACGCAUCACUGGUGUUCGGGUUGUCAUGCCAAUGGCACUGCCCGGUAGCUAAAUGCGGAAGAGAUAAGUGCUGAAAGCAUCUAAGCACGAAACUUGCCCCGAGAUGAGUUCUCCCUGAGACUUUAGGUCUCCUGAAGGAACGUUGAAGACGACGACGUUGAUAGGCCGGGUGUGUAAGCGCAGCGAUGCGUUGAGCUAACCGGUACUAAUGAACCGUGAGGCUUAACCUUACAACGCCGAAG
rnacentral:rRNA from 1 species